CCUACGGGAGGCAGCAGUAGGGAAUAUUGCUCAAUGGGGGAAACCCUGAAGCAGCAACGCCGCGUGGAGGAUGAAGGUUUUAGGAAUGUAAACCCCUUUUGUUAGAGAAGAUAAUGACGGUAUCUAACGAAUAAGCACCGGCUAACUCCGUGCCAGCAGCCGCGGUAAUACGGAGGGGGCAAGCGUUACUCGGAAUCACUGGGCGUAAAGAGCGCGUAGGCGGGAUAGCAAGUCGGAUGUGAAAUUCUAGGGCUUAACCAUAGAACUGCAUUGGAAACUGUUAUUCUAGAGUAUGGGAGAGGUAAGUGGAAUUCUUGGUGUAGGGGUGAAAUCCGUAGAGAUCAAGAGGAAUACU
rnacentral:rRNA from 1 species